CAUCUUCCCACUUGGCUUUCCUUCCUGGGGCUGCCAGUGAACUGAAACUGAGAGGCUAUGAAAACAUACACAGGACAGAGAGAACAAAUCUAUAUUCUGCUUCACUCAUCAAUUGUAUACUCAGUUGUGUAUCUAAAAAGGAUUAACGAGCACCUACAUUUUCUGGGAACCGUGUGCCACUCAAGGGAUACAAGGUAUGGCUUUCUUCCUUAGUAGAUAAUACAGAGGAAGAUACUAUCUAUAUCUUCUAAGACUAUGAGCAAAUCUGCAUGUUGUGCCAGAGAGAGACACUACUUCUGUCUUUCAAGACUCUUCAGUCUACAAACGUUCUUGUAAAGACAAUCUUGAACAGUGGGCACUCAAUGCCUGGCUUGCAAGAUUUUCAGAAAUGCAAGACACCCACAGAGAACUGUUUCACAACAGAAACACCCAAAGAAAAGAAGAAAUUAGAAUGACUUCCAGUUCUGUGACAUGAACAACAGGUGAAGAAAUUGUAGGAACAGGAGGAGAAGGUUUGGUUUCAUGUAUGUUUCAAAGCUGGAAUGGUAAAGAGCAUGACACAAAAGAGUCUUCAAUGUCACAAUCAUAUGUGACAACAGUUAACCUCUAAGUUCACACAGAGUUUAGAUUUCUCUUCUCAAUACUGUAGUAAAGAAUCUCCUUAACCAGUAUAGUCCUUUCUGGAAGAAAUUCAGAACUGUUGCCAACUUUGAACCAAUCACCAGCUUGAAUAUCUUGACCUACCUGUCCUUCUGGCCUUCUAAGAAGAAUCAGUGAGACUAAGAGAAACCAUUGCAAGAGCAGAAUUAGAAGGAAACACAUAAUUCAGCCUUUGACACACUUUAUGAGAACUGUAGCUCCUACUCAAAUUUCCUCGGACUGGGGACACGGACAGUUGUCUACAGGCUGUUAUCAUUCACAGGGCAUCCUCCAAGCUAAAAGAAAGACCGCUGAGUUUGUCAUGAGCUGAACAAUGAUUUCAGAGACCCUCACACAUCUAUCUGCAGCCCCACUGUAGCACUGAUUUCUGAGUUGUAAUUCUGGUCACAAUUUUUCAUCUCUUCCA